ensembl:ncRNA lncRNA:CR45038 long non-coding RNA:CR45038
CAGACUCGAGACGACCUGGUAAGUAGUCAUCAUCAUAGUUGUCCGCCAGACAAAGGCGCUGAAUCCGAGGUUCCGUAAUCGAACCGCACUCCGAUACACAUACCCCAUACCCCUACCCCAAUCCCAGCCCCUAUCCAUACCCAUACAGUAUUGGAGUUUUAAGACUUAAGUGCCGAGACGGUCGCGGUCGCGGGCUUAAUUUGCAAUGUCUGACCGCCGGUCCGUCCGCGCAUGUGCCAAGCGGUCAAGCGCAGUUAAAGCUGUCAAAGCCUGAACAAAAAAAAACUAAAAAAGAGCAAAAUCUUAAAAAAAAAGCGAAACACAAUGACCACAAUGCUGAGCCAUUGACAGCGGAGCCGCGGUUCUCACACUCGGCGGGCCUCAUAAUAAAUGCCGUUUCCUAG